UACGUAGGGUGCAAGCGUUGUCCGGAAUUAUUGGGCGUAAAGAGCUCGUAGGCGGUUUGUCGCGUCUGCUGUGAAAACUCGGGGCUUAACCCUGGGCCUGCAGUGGGUACGGGCAGACUAGAGUGCGGUAGGGGGAGACUGGAAUUCCUGGUGUAGCGGUGAAAUGCGCAGAUAUCAGGAAGAACACCCGUGGCGAAGGCGGCUCUCUGGGACGGUACUGACGCUGAGACGCGAAAGCGUGGGGAGCGAACAGG
rnacentral:rRNA from 1 species